UUCUACAGUGAAAGACGGUCUUGCUGUCACUUAUAGAUGGACCCGCGCCGUAUUAGCUAGUUGGUGGGGUAACGGCCUACCAAGGCGACGAUACGUAGCCGACCUGAGAGGGUGAUCGGCCACACUGGAACUGAGACACGGUCCAGACUCCUACGGGAGGCAGCAGUAGGGAAUCUUCCGCAAUGGGCGAAAGCCUGACGGAGCAACGCCGCGUGAGUGAUGAAGGUCUUCGGAUCGUAAAGCUCUGUUGUUAGGGAAGAACAAAUGUGUAAGUAACUGUGCACAUCUUGACGGUACCUAACCAGAAAGCCACGGCUAACUACGUGCCAGCAGCCGCGGUAAUACGUAGGUGGCAAGCGUUAUCCGGAAUUAUUGGGCGUAAAGCGCGCGUAGGCGGUUUUUUAAGUCUGAUGUGAAAGCCCACGGCUCAACCGUGGAGGGUCAUUGGAAACUGGAAAACUUGAGUGCAGAAGAGGAAAGUGGAAUUCCAUGUGUAGCGGUGAAAUGCGCAGAGAUAUGGAGGAACACCAGUGGCGAAGGCGGCUUUCUGGUCUGCAACUGACGCUGAUGUGCGAAAGCGUGGGGAUCAAACAGGAUUAGAUACCCUGGUAGUCCACGCCGUAAACGAUGAGUGCUAAGUGUUAGGGGGUUUCCGCCCCUUAGUGCUGCAGCUAACGCAUUAAGCACUCCGCCUGGGGAGUACGGUCGCAAGACUGAAACUCAAAGGAAUUGACGGGGACCCGCACAAGCGGUGGAGCAUGUGGUUUAAUUCGAAGCAACGCGAAGAACCUUACCAAAUCUUGACAUCCUUUGACCGCUCUAGAGAUAGAGUUUUCCUCUUCGGAGGACAAAGUGACAGGUGGUGCAUGGUUGUCGUCAGCUCGUGUCGUGAGAUGUUGGGUUAAGUCCCGCAACGAGCGCAACCCUUGAACUUAGUUGCCAUCAUUCAGUUGGGCACUCUAAGUUGACUGCCGGUGACAAACCGGAGGAAGGUGGGGAUGACGUCAAAUCAUCAUGCCCCUUAUGAUUUGGGCUACACACGUGCUACAAUGGACAAUACAAAGGGCAGCGAAACCGCGAGGUCAAGCAAAUCCCAUAAAGUUGUUCUCAGUUCGGAUUGUAGUCUGCAACUCGACUACAUGAAGCUGGAAUCGCUAGUAAUCGUAGAUCAGCAUGCUACGGUGAAUACGUUCCCGGGUCUUGUACACACCGCCCGUCACACCACGAGAGUUUGUAACACCCGAAGCCGGUGGAGUAACCAUUUUGGAGCUAGCCGUCGAAGGUGGGACAAAUGAUUGGGGUGAAGUCGUAACAAGGUAGCCGUAUCGGAAGGUGCGGCUGGAUCACCUCCUUUCUA
rnacentral:rRNA from 1 species